UACGUAGGCAGCAAGCGUUGUUCGGAAUUACUGGGCGUAAAGAGUGCGUAGGCGGUUUCUCAAGUCCGCUGUGAAAUCCCCGGGCUCAACCUGGGAAUGGCAGUGGAAACUAGGAGACUUGAAUCUGGCAGAGGGGGGUGGAAUUCCACGUGUAGCAGUGAAAUGCGUAGAGAUGUGGAGGAACACCGAUGGCGAAGGCAGCCCCCUGGGCUGAGAUUGACGCUCAGGCACGAAAGCGUGGGGAGCAAACAGG
rnacentral:rRNA from 1 species